rnacentral:rRNA from 1 species
CAGCAGCCGCGGUAAUACAGAGGAUGCAAGCGUUGUCCGGAAUGAUUGGGCGUAAAGCGUCUAUAGGUGGCUUGACAAGUCUUGUGUGAAAUCUAUGGGCUCAACCCAUAGUCUGCACGGGAAACUGUCGGGCUUGAGAAUGGGAGAGGUGAGUGGAAUUUCCGGUGUAGCGGUGAAAUGCGUAGGUAUCGGAAGGAACACCUGUGGCGAAAGCGGCUCACUGGACCAUUUCUGACGCUGAAGCGCGAAAGCGUGGGGAGCAAACAGGAUUAGAUACCCCAGUAGUCCCUGUCUCUUAUAC